UCUCAGACAGCGAUUUUGGAAGAUUUUCGUGAAAGAGCAUAUUAUUUUUUGAAUCAUAUUCAGUAUAUCUCUUAUAUAUUCAUUAUUACAAUUUUGUACCGGUUACUCUUUCAAGAAAAAUCCACUUUGUUUCAUUGGGCUGUAAUGAUACUGAUCUAUUUUUUUCGAGCAUCAGUAGAUCCCGGAACAAGGCGUUUACGUUAUGAUUCGUCUUGGCAGAUGUCUCCAAAAAACCACAUCCCCAAUUUGCGGCUUCUGCUGCACCUUCGCUCAUUGAUACUUCACGCACUGAUGGACUCUCAUCACAUUUAUUUCCAACCUGUUAAAUAAUUAAAAGAAUCGAAUCGAAAAAUCAAAUCAUAAAUUUGUUAUUUUUUUAUUUAUAAUUAAAAAAUAAAAUUUAUAUGAAAAAUUA